GCCUGGGUGGCUCAGUCGGUUGGGCAUCCGACUUCGACUCAGAUCAUGAUCUCAUAGCUUGUGAGUUCAAGCCCCACAUCAGGCU
rnacentral:tRNA from 1 species